AACGAACGCUGGCGGCAGGCUUAACACAUGCAAGUCGAACGCCCCGCAAGGGGAGUGGCAGACGGGUGAGUAACACGUGGGAACGUGCCCUUCGCUUCGGGAUAGCCUCGGGAAACUGGGAGUAAUACCGAAUACGCCGUAUUGGGAAGAUUUAUCGCCCAAGGAUGAGCCCGCGUAGGAUUAGCUAGUUGGUGAGGUAAAGGCUCACCAAGGCGACGAUCCUUAGCUGGUCUGAGAGGAUGAUCAGCCACACUGGGACUGAGACACGGCCCAGACUCCUACGGGAGGCAGCAGUGGGGAAUAUUGGACAAUGGGCGAAAGCCUGAUCCAGCAAUGCCGCGUGAGUGAUGAAGGCCUUAGGGUUGUAAAGCUCUUUUACCCGGGAUGAUAAUGACAGUACCGGGAGAAUAAGCUCCGGCUAACUCCGUGCCAGCAGCCGCGGUAAU
rnacentral:rRNA from 1 species